rnacentral:rRNA from 1 species
GGUAGCAUAAUCAUUUGUCUUUUAAAUAAAGACUGGAACAAAAGAUUUAACAUUUCAAUAUACUUAUUUUAAUUAAUAAUUAAAAUUAUAUUAAAUAUAAAAAUAUAUUUAUAUACUAGAAAGACGACMAGACCCUAUCGAACUUAACUCCUGUUUAACUGGGGCAGUUAAUUAAUUAUUAUUUUAAUAGACAUAUUUUUAUAAAAAUCCAAUUCAUUGAUAAUCCAGUUACCGUAGGGAUAACAGCGCAAUUAUAUUUAAGAGUUCUUACCUAAAAAAUAGAUUACGACCUCGAUGUUGAAUUAAUAACCUAAUUAGAGCAAAUACUAAAAUAGGAAGUCUGUUCGACUUUUAAAAAAUUACAUGAUUUGAGUUCAGACCGGCGUAAGCCAGGUCGGUUUCUAUCUUCUACAUAAUUCUUAUAGUACGAAAGGGCCCAAGAAAAUAAUAAAAUUUUCAAAUUGGCAGAUUAUGCGUUAGAAUUAGAAUCUAAAAAAUCA